rnacentral:lncRNA from 1 species
UAAGUCAUGUGAUGUCACCGCUUCUAGUAUGAUAGUGGCCUCACAUUUCUCAGUUUUUCCACUAUGCAAUUAAUUGAUCCGAGCAUUCCUGAAAAUCCUCUCGCCUCUCCAAUAGCCAAUAGUUUCUCUGUAUCCUACAUAUUUAGUUCUCUCAAAUACUCUGGUCUAAACACCUCGACCACAACAUGGGCAAACUUGACAUUAGUCUUCACACACCUACUCUCUUCCAUCCCGAUCAUCCCACCAACAACAUCUGCCGUAGUAUCAAGUGCAAGC